UGGGGAAUAUUGGACAAUGGGCGCAAGCCUGAUCCAGCCAUGCCGCGUGAGUGAUGAAGGCCCUAGGGUUGUAAAGCUCUUUCACCGGUGAAGAUAAUGACGGUAACCGGAGAAGAAGCCCCGGCUAACUUCGUGCCAGCAGCCGCGGUAAUACGAAGGGGGCUAGCGUUGUUCGGAUUUACUGGGCGUAAAGCGCACGUAGGCGGACUUUUAAGUCAGGGGUGAAAUCCCGGGGCUCAACCCCGGAACUGCCUUUGAUACUGGAAGUCUUGAGUAUGGUAGAGGUGAGUGGAAUUCCGAGUGUAGAGGUGAAAUUCGUAGAUAUUCGGAGGAACACCAGUGGCGAAGGCGGCUCACUGGACCAUUACUGACGCUGAGAUGCGAAAGCGUGGGGAGCAAACAGG
rnacentral:rRNA from 1 species